rnacentral:rRNA from 1 species
ACAGAAUGUAACCUAGCGUCGGAAAAGAAAAUACAACUUUCAGCAACGGAUCUCUUGGCUCUCGCAUCGAUGAAGGACGCAGCGAAUCGCGAUAAGUAAUGUGAAUUGCAGAUUUUCCGUGAAUCAUCGAAUCUUUGAACGCACCUUGCGCUCCUUGGUAUUCC